rnacentral:rRNA from 1 species
UGCCCCAAGCCGGGGAGCAUGUGGUUUAAUUCGACGCAACGCGAAGAACCUUACCUACUCUUGACAUCUACGGAAGAUUGCAGAGAUGCGAUUGUGCCUUCGGGAACCGUAAGACAGGUGCUGCAUGGCUGUCGUCAGCUCGUGUUGUGAAAUGUUGGGUUAAGUCCCGCAACGAGCGCAACCCUUAUCCUUAGUUGCCAGCACGUAAUGGUGGGAACUCUAGGGAGACUGCCGGUGAUAAACCGGAGGAAGGUGGGGACGACGUCAAGUCAUCAUGGCCCUUACGAGUAGGGCUACACACGUGCUACAAUGGUAUGUACAGAGGGAGGCAAGCUGGCGACAGUGAGCGGAUCUCAUAAAGCAUAUCGUAGUCCGGAUUGGAGUCUGCAACUCGACUCCAUGAAGUCGGAAUCGCUAGUAUCGAUCGCC